AUGUUGGAAAAUAAUGCAUGGAUUUUGCAGACAGCUUGUAGUUUGAUAAGAGCUGAUGAAGGGGCAGCUAGUCUCUCCAUUUGUGCUGAUUUUGUGGAACAUCCAGACUCCCAAGAAAACUGUGGCAAUUCUGAAUCAUUGACUUGCUGCAAUGAUGGCCUGGAUAUGGGUUAACAAGACUGGAGAGCAGUACUGCUGAUAAGCUGUAGGCAACAUAACCAAAAACUUGGUAAUAUAAUUGGUUCUUUAUGGUGUUGCACUUCCUCUGAAGGAUCAGUUUCUUCACAGGGGAGUCAUUAAUAUUCAGGUGGCUUCUGUAGUCAAGAGUGACUUUGCCCAAUGUUAUCUAGUGGGAUGACUGUAUCCUUUCCUGGAAAAGGUGGCUCUGCUUACAAUAUUAUCUCUGUUUCACUCUACUCCCUGAAUAGAUCACUGGAAUGCACUAUGCAUGGGACUGCUCUUUUAAAAAAUACUCAAUAACUGCAUGUAAUGCAAUAUAUAGUCAGUUUCCUCACUAUCGCAUGCUUUUUAAAACUAUUGCAUGCUUUUCCUCACUAUUGCAUGUUAUCCUUUGAUCAGUUGCACUGAUUUCUAUCUACUUUAACGGCUUAGUUUUAGCACUGGUGUCCACCUAUAAAGACCUAAAUAACAUAUGGACAGAUAUCUGAAAGAACAUCUCAUUCCAUAGGACCAUAUUCAUGAGUUGAGACAAUCUUUAGAGUCCAUGUGGUACUUUCCCAAGACUCAACAGAUGUGGAAGCCAAGGUAUGGAAAAUGACUUUCUGAAAGUGCAGCUCUUAGAAUCAACCAACCAACGUAGCCAACCAUCAGCAUGUUACUAAGCCUUCUCAGUGACAUCAUCUUCAUUGUGUAAUUCUAUCAAUUUGUGAUGUGUUUGGGAUGGCAAUGAAAACUGUACUUGGCUUUUAGUGUUUUAUUUUUUAAUCUAAUAGUUUUAAUUAUUUUUAGUUAUUCUUUAGUCAUUAUGGUGGAAUCACUUUGGGCCCCUUGUCAACUCUGAAACAGUAUAAAACCAUUUGUAUUCAUUAGGCAAUGACUAUUGCUAUACCUUGCUGUCAUGAAAUCUACAAAUGAUUUGUGUGUUAUUUGAAAAGGAAUGUGUGAACUGGCUGCCUUUACCCUUGGAAUAGGUCAGAAGAAGCCCUUAAUUCUUUGUUAAUUUACUCAUGCAUCAAUGUAUAUUUGAGCAAAAGCAGAGACUUGGGAAAAGUUUUACCAGUCUUAUGAACUUUAUGACCUUAAAUUGCUGAACUUCAGUUGGUCUCCAGUCUGAUAAUCCACUGUGUAUGAUUCAUGCUACAAUGGCCCCUUUUAUUUUAAAUUGCUAACCCAUGAAUGGAUUCCAAGUCGCCUGCCAGGCAAAAAAGAGGAUUCAACCCUGCAGUAUGCAGAGGGGGAAAGAGAGAGACAGAAAGAGGACAAGGCACAAUUAAUAAGCUUUUAAGGAUGUUUUGCAUUUUUCAAAUAGACCACAGCAUCACAAGAUUGAAAGCCAGAUAAAGAAACCACUAUUUUAAUAGUAAACAUUAAAUAGUACAUGAUCAGCAUCAUUUGAAAUGACAGCUCCUUUUGGACACGGAAGGGCUUGAUCCCCAUUCAUGAUGAUUCAUACUAUUUUCAAAUUAUACUGCCUUAAACUGUAACAAUAAUAACAAUAACAUAUUCAUUGGGCUUUCAUAGUAAGACUCUUUCAGGAACUCACUGUGCAGUCUUUCAUUUACAUGGAUGCAAACAUGCUCCCAAACAAAAUCUGGGGAUAUUAAUGGUGGUCAUCGUAGCUCUAGGUCAC
rnacentral:lncRNA from 1 species